UUAUAGCAGUAAGAAUAUGAACUUUGAAGAUAGAAACUGCUGAGCACCCUCAUUUCAGAGCAUAGAGAAAGGUAUGGAGGAAGCCUCCAGGCUGAAUGCAGGUGAAGGUGACCUUGGGGAAGGAGGUGGCCUGGGACAUGGAGGCUUUGGGCAAGCAGCAGUGAGACAGCAUGGAAGAUACUGAGAUCAGGCUAUUGAUGAAUUGAAACCCCUGGAUUAAAGCCACUGCAGCCUUAAUAGCUCUUAAUAGCUUCAUAGCUGCAGUGUGUGAGGGCAGUGCUGUGCAGCCCUUGUCCCACAGAUAUGGGGAACCUGUUGGUGAUAUUGGAAUAGAAAAACAGAGAUCAAGAAAAAAGAAUCUCGAGCUGUUAAAAAAAUGUAGAAUUGAGGACAAUUUAAAUAAAACGGACACCUACACAUGUCUGGAGACUGGAUAGGAUGCACCCAAGGACUGAGGGAGCUGGCUGACGUUGUUGCAAGGCCGUCUCUGAAAGGCUGUGGUGGCUGCAGGAGAGUCCUGAUGACUGGGAAGAGGCAGACAUCAAUCCUGCAGCUGGGCUGGGACAACCCCAGACAUCUGUGUGAGAUAAACCUCAUCUCUCCCCCCAAAA